GACGAACGCUGGCGGCGUGCUUAACACAUGCAAGUCGAGCGGUAAGGCCCUUUCGGGGGUACACGAGCGGCGAACGGGUGAGUAACACGUGGGUGACCUGCCCUCAGCUCUGGGAUAAGCCUGGGAAACCGGGUCUAAUACUGGAUAUGACUCCAUGACGCAUGUUGUGGGGUGGAAAGCCUUGUGCGGCUGAGGAUGGGCCCGCGGCCUAUCAGCUUGUUGGUGGGGUGANGGCCUACCAAGGCGACGACGGGUAGCCGGCCUGAGAGGGCGACCGGCCACACUGGGACUGAGACACGGCCCAGACUCCUACGGGAGGCAGCAGUGGGGAAUCUUGCGCAAUGGGCGAAAGCCUGACGCAGCGACGCCGCGUGAGGGAUGACGGCCUCGGUUGUAACU
rnacentral:rRNA from 1 species